rnacentral:rRNA from 1 species
AGAACGAACGCUGGCGGCAGGCUUAACACAUGCAGGUCGAGCGCCCCGCAAGGGGAGCGGCAGACGGGUGAGUAACGCGUGGGAACAUACCCUCCGGUUCGGAAUAGCUCAGGGAAACUUGGAUUAAUACCGGAUACGGCCUAGCGGCGAAAGAUUCAUCGCCGGAGGAUUGGCCCGCGUCUGAUUAGCUAGUUGGUGGGGUAAUGGCCCACCAAGGCGACGAUCAGUAGCUGGUCUGAGAGGAUGAUCAGCCACAUUGGGACUGAGACACGGCCCAAACUCCUACGGGAGGCAGCAGUGGGGAAUAUGGACAAUGGCGCAAGCCUGAUCCAGCCAUGCCGCGUGAGUGAUGACGGCCUUAGGGUUGUAAAGCUCUUUCGCUAGGGACGAUAAUGACGGUACCUAGACAAGAAGCCCGGCUAACUUCGUGCCAGCAGCCGC